AUUCUCACACAGCCACUACUAUUCUGUUCUGUGUGAAGAAAGCUGCACCUCAGUGUUACCCCAGAAGUAAGGUGAUUACAUGAGGAGAAGGUUUGGUACAGUGUGUCACGCCAGUAGUCAGGUGAUUACACAAGGAGGGGAUUCUUUACAGUGUGUCACCGCAAAAGCUGUCCAAAAAUGUGCCUGAAUUUGCUCUGGCGCACUACUCUUCGGCUCAUUGUGGAAAUACUGUAUAAACAAGAGAAAGGCAAUAAUUCAUAGGGGCUUCGGAGACAGGACUUCAUCUUUGAAGUUAGAAACACCAGAUGGCUUCCAGUCAUGGGCUAAGGUGGCAUAAUGUCUACUUAAACUCAGGGAUGGAAUUUUGCUUUGUUGGAAAAAAAAGGUGCAAACAUGAAUAAAGAAAGUUAUAAGUGAGGACACAGCCUCUGCCACAGGUUUAAAAGUGACAGUGCUAACUGCAGUCAAGAAUCUGUAUGGUGGUAUGACAGCAGAUGCCACACCUGCAAAGGGGUAUUCAGGGAUUUUUUUUAUUUGACUAUGCUACAGGUGCUGUAAAGUUAAUGUACUUCAUAAUAUAGUGUCUGUACCUGUGUUUCAUGGAUGGUCUUGCAAUUGAUGUGAUCUUUGUCCUAAUAACA